rnacentral:rRNA from 1 species
AGAGUUUGAUCCUGGCUCAGAUUGAACGCUGGCGGAAUGCUUUACACAUGCAAGUCGAACGGCAGCACGGGGCAACCUGGUGGCGAGUGGCGAACGGGUGAGUAAUACAUCGGAACGUGCCCAAUCGUGGGGGAUAACGUAGCGAAAGUUACGCUAAUACCGCAUACGAUCUACGGAUGAAAGCGGGGGAUCGCAAGACCUCGCGCGAGUGGAGCGGCCGAUGUCAGAUUAGGUAGUUGGUGGGGUAAAGGCUCACCAAGCCAACGAUCUGUAGCUGGUCUGAGAGGACGACCAGCCACACUGGAACUGAGACACGGUCCAGACUCCUACGGGAGGCAGCAGUGGGGAAUUUUGGACAAUGGGCGCAAGCCUGAUCCAGCCAUUCCGCGUGCAGGAUGAAGGCCUUCGGGUUGUAAACUGCUUUUGUACGGAACGAAACGGCGGGCUCUAAUACAGUUUGCUAAUGACGGUACCGUAAGAAUAAGCACCGGCUAACUACGUG